rnacentral:rRNA from 1 species
GACGAACGCUGGCGGCGUGCUUAACACAUGCAAGUCGAACGGAAAGGCCCUGCUUUUGUGGGGUGCUCGAGUGGCGAACGUGUGAGUAACACGUGAGUAACCUGCCCUUGACUUUGGGAUAACUUCAGGAAACUGGGGCUAAUACCGGAUAGGAGCUCCUGCUGCAUGGUGGGGGUUGGAAAGUUUCGGCGGUUGGGGAUGGACUCGCGGCUUAUCAGCUUGUUGGUGGGGUAGUGGCUUACCAAGGCUUUGACGGGUAGCCGGCCUGAGAGGGUGACCGGCCACCUGGGGACUGCGGUACGGACCAGACUCCUACGGGAGGCAGCAGUGGGGAAUAUUGCACAAUGGGCGGAAGCCUGAUGCAGCAACGCCGCGUGCGGGAUGACGGCCUUCGGGUUGUAAACCGCUUUCGCCUGUGACGAAGCGGGAGUGACGGUAAUGGGUAAAGAAGCACCGGCUAACUACGUG